rnacentral:rRNA from 1 species
GAUGAACGCUGGCGGCGUGCUUAACACAUGCGAGUCGAACGGAAAGGCCCAAGCUUGCUUGGGUACUCGAGUGGCGAACGGGUGAGUAACACGUGGGUGAUCUGCCCUGCACUUCGGGAUAAGCCUGGGAAACUGGGUCUAAUACCGGAUAGGACGAUGGUUUGGAUGCCAUUGUGGAAAGUUUUUUCGGUGUGGGAUGAGCUCGCGGCCUAUCAGCUUGUUGGUGGGGUAAUGGCCUACCAAGGCGUCGACGGGUAGCCGGCCUGAGAGGGUGUACGGCCACAUUGGGACUGAGAUACGGCCCAGGCUCCUACGGGAGGCAGCAGUGGGGAAUAUUGCACAAUGGGCGCAAGCCUGAUGCAGCGACGCCGCGUGGGGGAUGACGGCCUUCGGGUUGUAAACUCCUUUCGCUAGGGACGAAGCGUUUUGUGACGGUACCUGGAGAAGAAGCACCGGCUAACUACGUG